AUUCACUUUCUCAUCUUAAUUUACACUUUUAAUGGGAUUGAAUGAAUGCACCGAUUCAUUCACUCUCUGGUAGCAUCUAUAUUUUCACCCAAGAGUAAACUCAUCUCCAUCAAAUAUGUGAAUCCCAAAUGACGUUCCCAAUCCUCCAACCAGCGAAUCCCAAUGGAUUUGAAUGCCAUUGAUGAUUUGACGAUGUAUUUCUGGAUUCAACCGUAAAUAAGAACGAUUUUAGUUUUCUGCAAAACUAGGGAACUGGAAACACAAGCUCAAGUUCGAAAGUGGGCACGGCCUCACAAUGAUGAUUUGCACACAGUAAUAUCAAAUAGUGAAGCGUGAACCGAAUUCUCACAUUCAGAGGACAGCAAUGGAAGUCGGGGUGAACAUGUGGAUUGUAGGGCUGUAGCGAUGAUUUUUUAUGCGACUCGAGACGUUCGAUAGCUAGAAAAGAACUUGGCAAACUUAAAGCCAAAUAACCAAGAUAUUAAAAAGAAGUAUGCAGAGGAAAAAAAUUUAUAUGACAAGGUACAUGUGCUGGUUCUUUUGCUUCUUUCAGUUAGUUCUCUUAACCUUAUGUGCGCUACAGUGAAUUACGGACUGCUUUGGAUCACAACUUUCAACUAUUUUUUGACAUUCUUUUUAAACAGGUCUUCAACCAAAUGCUUUUUUCAUGGAUCAUCAGCCAAUAACACAUUUAGGUUCUUCACUAAACUUCAUCUCUUUCAUGUGGAUAAUGUGAUUGUGAGAUGUAGAAAAUCUUUCAGGGGUAUCUUACUGUGCAUCAUUGGCGAGUUUGUUCUUUUACAUUACACACAUAUAUUGUUUAUCUUGCAGGAGUAAAGCUAUCAUUUUUUUGAAAUUUUGUUCAUUUCCGUAGGGUCGGAAGCUAUGUUUGCUAAUCUUGGACACUUGGUGUGUUUAUGCAUGGCUUCACGUAACGAGGUGGUAAAAAGGGUUCCAUGGGUCAGAUGGGUUGGGUUGGGUUGGGUUCGGAUCAAAAUGGGGACUUUUUUUGUACAACCCAGGCUACGCUAGGCUGACCUCAAAACACUUUUUAUCAAAAGUAUAGAAAAACUAUCUUGUUACAAUAAUAAGCUAACAUUUUGAGUAAGACUAUCUCGAAGGUUACAUGCAUAAUGCAUUAAAAAACAAACUUUGUGAGUCUUUCAACCUGUUUGACCCAUUCUCUAUUAGUUCUUUUUCAUUUGGCUCAUUUGACUUGCAUAAGUAAAUGGUUCAAAGAUGCAACCUCAAUGAUUUCUUUUUUCUUGUUUUUGAGCUUGUAAUUUUAUUUUGCAUAUAGGUUUUACAUUAUUUAUUUAUCCAUACUUGAUUCUUGCAUAUAUGUACCGGCUGCUUAUUCGCCUCAACAUCAUGUUAUUGGAAUGAUUGUCGGAUUGGAUUCUACAUCUAUACCCGGAGUUUGAGUUGAUUGAUCAAGGGGAGCUUGCACCUCUAUAUGAGCUUGUUGAACGCAUUUUCAAGUUGUAGUUUCUACUUUUUUGGUUUAAAUUGUUUUUAUGUAAUAUUUUAAAAACAUAAGUUAUGUGAAACCUGUCACGCAACAUGCUCGAACAAACAAAAUUUAUGUACCCGCAGCAACGCGCGGGCAUUCCCACUAGUUUAAAAUAAUUCAAACUUGCUUUAAGAAUCAAAUUUACCUCGAUAUAUCUAAAUAGUUUGCGACGGUCCAAAUCAUUACACAAAAAGACCAUAUGACGCAGGUGCGAAAGCAAUAAAAUAAUAAGAGAAUAAUUUUUGAAGGAAAAGUUGUAAUUUUUGAAUGAUCUUUUUUUUAUAUAUCUAUAUAUCUAUAUAUCUUCUAUAUAACUAUAUAAUACAUCUCCUUAGGACUUAGAUGUAAUUUUACCCUCUAAUUUUAAGACGUAAUGUGAAAGGUCAUUGCAUUUUUCGUGAGUUUCAUCCCAACCUUCCAAAUAUGCCCCCCUUCACUUUUAGGUUUCAAUUAUUUUUUACAUUUCUUACAUGGCAGAUACAUCAAUCGUCGUUGUUCAAUGAACUAAUUUAACUCUUGCUUCUCCAUCUUCCCUCCCAAAUCGUUUGUGCUUCCACACACAUAUACAAGAGGGAGUCUCUGCCUCUCUACGUUUUCAAUUUGACCAAGAUUAGGUUUAGUUCUUCCCCCAAAUACACAAACAAUCACUCAAUCAGAAACAAGAUUAUCAUGUAAAACACCAAUUUCUGUUGUAGAUUCCUCUUAAUCGAUUCAAUUUCGCUUUUUUGUGGCCCAUGAACAUUUUAGGGUUUCCCACACACUUGACAUAUUGAAAAGAACACACACAUAGCUUCUAAGGGGCAUGAGGUUUGGAAGUGGUGAAUUUUCGUGAUUCAGGUGUGGAGGGUAAGUGAGAAUUGAGAAGAUGACGGAUGCUCGGUUACAAUGGUUACAGAGCCGGAGGGUACGACGGAUGCGUGUUCGGAAUACGAGAGGGAUGGUGAUUUUGAGAGGGGGUUGGAGUUGUUUUGCCAAUUAUCAGGUUUAAGUUUUGCUCUUCUAUUCCAGCUGAUCAUAUUUAAAGGAGGGUAAGAUCUGAUUUGGUUAUUACAUCAUUGUCGUCACCGGGGAGAGCUGAUUUGGAGAAUAAGCGUUGUUUUGGUGACAUAAGAAGGUUCAAUGAUUUAUAGAUUUAGGGAUUAUGCCUUACCUUCUACAGUAGAUGAUUUUUGACGUGUAACCACCAAUUCCAGCAGAAGCAAAGGUGUUGAACUGAUUGGCGACGAAUCAGAUUCUGGUCAAGACUAGGGUACUUCGUGCCUCGCAAUAACUCCGGCUACGAGCUUGGGUGCAACAGAGGUGACAGAGACGUUAGGGUCUUCCUAUGGGAUAAAUGGUGGUGGCCAGCUUACGGCUAUAAGGGCGGUGACCGGUGGUUCGAUUUUGGUGAUUUAAAAUUAUGCCACAUGGAAUAUGUUGAUAAACCAUGGAAGGAAGGCCGUUUGUACUACCGUAUCGAGGAAUGAUGUACUACUGAAAAGCUCUAAUGCUUCAAGCUUAUUUGGAAAGAAUGACUCUUGCAGGUUUUAGUUUUCUCCUUUCGAGGAUAGUUUUAUUAUUGCUAGGUGUACGUCUAAAAAACAUAAUCACCCACGGCAACGCACGGACAUUCCCAUUGGAGCUUGUCCAAAACUUACUAAGCUCAACAUCUGUGGCUGCUUGGUUUUUAGUGACGAUGGUCUCAAGUUCUGUAGUAGUUACUAUAUAAAGUUGAAAACUUUCAACCUUUGUGGGUGUGUGAAAGUAGCCACCGAUAAGGCUCUGAAGUUAUGGUAGAAUUACAAAUGUAUAUGUGGGAUGUAUUUGAUAUUUGGGGUCGUACUUAUAAACUGUCUUUUAGUUGUGCUUGUAGGCUAAUGGAUACAACUGUCGACAACAACUUGACUUUACCUUAUGGGUGUCCUAAUCUCUAUGCUAUUUACUUGUGUGGUGGUGUCUUUAUAACAGGUGGUUUUGGAGCUACAAAAUAACGGACAAAUGGUUACAUCUGAUGAUCAUGCAGUUGUACCUGGAUACUUAAAUGCAACUUUCAUACAGGAGGUUUCUGUAAUUUGUUCCAAGUAGUUUUAUAGUAAUGUUUACAAAACAUUAAUUUAUUCUUUCGUAUUUGAAUACAAGUGCUCCUUGGAAACAGACCCCAGCCUUUUUUGUAAUCCAAUACUUCUAGA